rnacentral:rRNA from 1 species
AUUGAACGCUGGCGGCAGGCCUAACACAUGCAAGUCGAGCGGAUGAAGGGAGCUUGCUCCUGGAUUCAGCGGCGGACGGGUGAGUAAUGCCUAGGAAUCUGCCUGGUAGUGGGGGAUAACGUCCGGAAACGGGCGCUAAUACCGCAUACGUCCUGAGGGAGAAAGUGGGGGAUCUUCGGACCUCACGCUAUCAGAUGAGCCUAGGUCGGAUUAGCUAGUUGGUGGGGUAAAGGCCUACCAAGGCGACGAUCCGUAACUGGUCUGAGAGGAUGAUCAGUCACACUGGAACUGAGACACGGUCCAGACUCCUACGGGAGGUAGCAGUGGGGAAUAUUGGACAAUGGGCGAAAGCCUGAUCCAGCCAUGCCGCGUGUGUGAAGAAGGUCUUCGGAUUGUAAAGCACUUUAAGUUGGGAGGAAGGGCAGUAAGUUAAGACCUUGCUGUUUUGACGUUACCAACAGAAUAAGCACCGGCUAACUUCGUG